UACGAAGGGGGCAAGCGUUGUCCGGAAUCAUUGGGCGUAAAGAGCGCGUAGGCGGUCUGGUAAGUCGGCUGUGAAAGUCCAGGGCUCAACCCUGGGAUGCCGGUCGAUACUGCCGGACUAGAGUUCGGAAGAGGCGAGUGGAAUUCCCGGUGUAGCGGUGAAAUGCGCAGAUAUCGGGAGGAACACCUAUGGCGAAGGCAGCUCGCUGGGACGUUACUGACGCUGAGACGCGAAAGCGUGGGGAGCAAACAGG
rnacentral:rRNA from 1 species